GUUGGAGCCUGGGCCCAAGGCACCACCAGGCCCGCGUGUCAGCUCCAUCUGCCACCUCCCGCGCACCCCCCCCCCCAUGGUCAGGCCUCUGGUAUAGGAGCCGGAGCCCGGGCCCAAGGCACCACCAGGCCCACGUGUCACCUCCAUCUGACACGCGGCCUGCUUUAUCUGCCGCCUCCCGCGCACCCCCCGACCGUGGACAGCGGGCCAGGGGUGCCAGAAGACCUGCUGAGCAUCCUGGGGGGUCUGGGAGGCCUUCCCAGCCCCCACGUGGUCGGCGGGUCCAGAGCCGGGCCGGUAGUGGUGAGUGGGC